GCCAUCGUGGCGCAAUGGUAGCGCAUCACCUUCCUACCCUAAGGAACUUACAGGUGGGGGUUGCGGGUUCGAUCCCCGUCGGUGGUA